AGCAGCAGCCGCGGGAAUACGUAGGUGGCAAGCGUUGUCCGGAAUUAUUGGGCGUAAAGCGCGCGCAGGCGGAUAGGUCAGUCUGUCUUAAAAGUUCGGGGCUUAACCCCGUGAUGGGAUGGAAACUGCCAAUCUAGAGUAUCGGAGAGGAAAGUGGAAUUCCUAGUGUAGCGGUGAAAUGCGUAGAUAUUAGGAAGAACACCAGUGGCGAAGGCGACUUUCUGGACGAAAACUGACGCUGAGGCGCGAAAGCCAGGGGAGCGAACGGGAUUAGAUACCCCAGUAGUCCCUGUCUCUUAUACA
rnacentral:rRNA from 1 species